AACGUAGGAGACAAACGUUAUCCGGAGUUACUGGGCGUAAAGGGCGUGUAGGCGGUUUGUUAAGUUUGGCGUGAAAGCUCUCGGCUAAACCGGGAGAGGUCGUUGGAUACUGGCAAACUAGAGGACGGUAGAGGCGUGUGGAAUUCCGGGUGUAGUGGUGAAAUGCGUAGAGAUCCGGAGGAACACCAGUGGCGAAGGCGGCUCACUGGACCGUUGUUGACGCUGAGGUGCGAAAGCGUGGG
rnacentral:rRNA from 1 species